GACGAACGCUGGCGGCGUGCCUAAUACAUGCAAGUAGAACGCAGUUGCGAACGGGUGAGUAACGCGUAGGUAACUGCCUCAUAGCGGGGGAUAACUAGUGGAAACGAUAGCUAAUACCUCCUACUGUGAGAUGGACCUGCGUUGUAUUAGCUAGUUGGUGAGGUAAAGGCUCAACAAGGCGCCGAAACAUAGCCGGACUGAGAGGGUGGUCGGCCACACUGGGACUUGGGCACGGCCCCGGCUCCCUCGGGAAGGAGCCGGAGGGAAACUUCGGGAAUGGGAGGAAGGCUGACCCAGCAACGCCGCGUGAGUGAAGAAAGUUUUCCGAUCGUAAAGCUCUGUUGUUAGGGAAGCGGUAUCUAACCAGAAAGCGACGGCUAACUACGUGCCAGCAGCCGCGGUAAUAC
rnacentral:rRNA from 1 species